rnacentral:misc_RNA from 1 species
GAUGAAGAACGUAGCGAAAUGCGAUACGUAAUGUGAAUCGCAAAUUCAGUGAAUCAUCGAGUCUUUGAACGCACAUUGCGCCCCCUGGUAUUCCGGGGGGCAUGCCUGUCCGAGCGUCAUUGCUGCCCUCAAGCACGGCUUGUGUGUUGGGCCCCGUCCUCCGAUCCCGGGGGACGGGCCCGAAAGGCAGCGGCGGCACCGCGUCCGGUCCUCGAGCGUAUGGGGCUUUGUCACCCGCUCUGUAGGCCCGGCCGGCGCUUGCCGAUCAACCCAAAUUUUUAUCCAGGUUGACCUCGGAUCAGGUAGGGAUACCCGCUGAACUUAAGCAUAUCAAUAAGCGGAGGA